rnacentral:rRNA from 1 species
AUACGGAGGAUGCAAGCGUUAUCCGGAUUUAUUGGGUUUAAAGGGUGCGUAGGCGGGACUGUAAGUCAGGGGUGAAAUACUGCAGCUUAACUGUAGCAUUGCCUUUGAAACUGCCGUUCUUGAGUACAGUUGAGGUAGGCGGAAUGUGGUGUGUAGCGGUGAAAUGCAUAGAUAUACCACAGAACGCCGAUUGCGAAGGCAGCUUACUAAGCUGUUACUGACGCUGAGGCACGAAAGCGUGGGGAUCAAACAGGAUUAGAUACCCUGGUAGUCCACGCUGUAAACGAUGAUUACUGGUUGUUAGCGAUAUAUAGCUAGUGACUGAGCGAAAGCACUAAGUAAUCCACCUGGGGAGUACGUCGGCAACGAUGAAACUCAAAGGAAUUGACGGGG